rnacentral:misc_RNA from 1 species
GAUGAAGAACGUAGCAAAAUGCGAUACUUGGUGUGAAUUGCAGAAUCCCGUGAACCAUCGAGUUUUUGAACGCAAGUUGCGCCCGAAGCCUUUUGGCCGAAGGCACGUCUGCCUGGGCGUCACGCAUCGCGUCGCCCCCCACAAUUCUCCGUAAAGAGAUCUCGUGUUUUGGGGGCGGAUAUUGGUCUCCCGUGCUCAUGGCGUGGUUGACCGAAAUAGGAGUCCCUUCGAUGGACGCACGAACUAGUGGUGGUCGUAAAAACCCUCGUCUUUUGUUUCGUGCCGUUAGUCGCAUGGGAAACACUAAGAAAACCCCAACGUGUCGUCUUUUGACGGCGCUUCGACCGCGACCCCAGGUCAGGUGGGACUACCCGCUGAGUUUAAGCAUAUCAAUAAGCGGAGGA